CUGUUAGUUCCUGGACCUGGGUUCACACUCAUCGACAGUACACCCCGGUAUUCACUGCGCAGAAGCCGAUGAUCUCCUGGACAAAAGGCAAGUGGCGCAGAGACGAAAGGAGAUCCAGGCAGAAGUCCAGGGGUGCUGCCGUGGAGAACGUUGGUAAAGAUCUACCGUCUCACGUCUCUGUCUCAGCUACCGUGACGAUGAGCUUCCUGCUGCCAAUGCACCAGAGAUGUAACCGUGUAAGCGUGCAGAAGCCGAACACAGAGAGAUGGACACAGGUAUCCAGGAAGUAAGAGGCCUUUAUUCACAUUACCGAUCGGGUCUCAG